rnacentral:rRNA from 1 species
GACGAACGCUGGCGGCGUGCUUAACACAUGCAAGUCGAACGGAAAGGCCCUGCUUUUGUGGGGUGCUCGAGUGGCGAACGGGUGAGUAACACGUGAGUAACCUGCCCUUGACUUGGGAUAACCUUAGGAAACUUGGGCUAAUACCCGAUAGGAGCCCCUGCUGCCUGGGGGGGGGUGGGAAGUUUCGGCGGUUGGGGAUGGACUCGCGGCUUAUCAGCUUGUUGGUGGGGUAGUGGCUUACCAAGGCUUUGACGGGUAGCCGGCCUGAGAGGGUGACCGGCCACAUUGGGACUGAGAUACGGCCCAGACUCCUACGGGAGGCAGCAGUGGGGAAUAUUGCACAAUGGGCGGAAGCCUGAUGCAGCAACGCCGCGUGCGGGAUGACGGCCUUCGGGUUGUAAACCGCUUUCGCCUGUGACGAAGCGUGAGUGACGGUAAUGGGUAAAGAAGCACCGGCUAACUACGUG